GACGAACGCUGGCGGCGUGCUUAACACAUGCAAGUCGAACGGAAAGGCCCUGCUUUCAGUGUACUCGAGUGUCGAACGGGUGUGUAACACGUGGGUGUUCUGCCCUUCACUUCUUGAUAUGCCUGGGAAACUGGGUCUAUUACCCUAUAUGUGCCAUUUUUAGUGUGAUGGUUGGAAUGUUUUUUCGGUGUAGGAUGAGCUCGCGGCCUGUCGGCUUGUUGGUUGAGUAAUGGCCUAUCAAGGAGGCGACGGGUAGCCGGCCUGAGAGGGUGGACGGCCACAAUGGGACUGAGAUACGGCCCAGACUCCGACGGGAGGAAGCAGUGGGGAAGAUUGCACAAUGGGCGCAAGCCUGAUGCAGCGACGACGCGGGGGGGAUGACGGCCUUCGGGUUGUAAACUCCGUUAGCUAGGGACGAAGCUUGUUGUGACGGUACCUAGAUAAGAAGCACCGGCUAACUACGUG
rnacentral:rRNA from 1 species